UUUUUUUAUUUUGGUCCAAGAUUUAGAUAAAGCUGCCUAAAAUCGACCAAUAACCCAGCUGCACUCAUCAUAAAUACAAGUAUAAUAACACUGACGGCAUGGAGUAAAACUUGUCUCAGUUCUUAAACCUAUUCGACCCCAACACUUCUAUAACAACAAUGCUGCUUCCAAUUCCAAAUUGAGCAUAAAAAAUUGGGAUAAAGAUUACGAAAAGAGAAAAUAGCAUGUCAGACUGUGACGGCUCGGUCUUUUCCUAGGGCAUAACCUAGAAGUUAGCGGACCGCCAGCCUGGCUCUCGCCAGGACUCAUUCACUAACAUUAAUUUCAGAGAUAACAUUGUGGUAUAUUAAAACCACACGUUCAAAACUUUUACAAUGCCAAGUUCAAUACAAAAGUUUUAGCCGUGAUAUGAUACUAGAUAAUUUAUAAUCACGAAAGUCUUCACGUUAAUUCCCUAAGUUCUCUCGUUCGUUUCUCCGACCACCAACUCCUGUAAGGAAAACAAAACUAAAGGAUUGAGCUAAAACUCAGUGAGGUUUGCCGAGCAAGAAACAUUUAAUAAACACUUAAAUCAUUACAAUUAAGCAAGUAGUACACAUUUCACUGUACAAUCACUUUCAUUAAGCAAUGGAAGAAACACUUCACUAAACAAUCACUUUUAAAAGAAUACGGUGCUCGCAUUAGAGCCACUUCAAUGUCAUUGAGCAUUCAUUUCAGUGUCAAGAGACACUCAUUUCACUGUUAUUGUACAUUCAUUUCAAUAUCAUUGCACAUUCUGCCGAUUCACCUCCUUAUGUCCUCCAAAACAAUAAACAAUCCCCUACGUUGAAUAAUCAGUUCAAUAAUCUCCCAAUCUCAUGGUAAUACUCGAGUAUACCGAAACAUUUACCCAAAGUUACCGUCCUACCCGACCAAGCCCUUUGCUGGAUCGAAUAGUCCAUUGAACAGAGGGUUUUGGGACCUAGUUCAGUCGAUGCGGCGAGGUACACAUACGGCUUACAUUUAUACACACUUACAGUAACAUUCAGUCAAUUAUCGACCUUCAAACUCGACUAAGCCGAGUGCGAUAAAGUACACCAUCGACUUAAAAGGCGAGGGACAAUUGAGAUACACUUCACAAGGAAUCAUUUAGUAAUAAUUCAUGAUAAGCACAUUUGUCACAUAAUUUCACUUAGAUACACAUAAACAGUUAAACACAUAAAUUCGAAAAACACUCACCAAAUACCCAAAUAAAUUAUUCUCGAGUCUCGGGUUCGUUUCCUGGCUCACAGCUACUUCCUGAGAUAAGUUCAUAAUUGCCAUAAUAAUUUAACUACUCAUUUGAUGAAAUUCUGAAGUAUAAUCAACAUAUGUGUUGUAUUCUAGCCUUAAGUCACCAUUCCACCUGAAUUCUAAGUUAUUGCUAUGUUCAGUGAGGUGACUAGUGCAUUUCUUACAUUCACUCGUCAUUUCGACCUUUAAUUUCCAAAAGAGAGGAAGUUUAAGUACCAAUUCCAAUAUUGUGACUUCAUUACUUUUAUACUGCUAGAUUUAUCGUACUAAAAGCAACAUUAACCCUUAAUAAGGUAAAUUUUAGAAAUAACUACCUUUAAGGUACUUUAUUGUCCUAUAAAUCUCUUUUCCUUAAGAUCAUGAGUAAAACUAGUUUAUUACCUUAACGGUGAACAUACAAUGCUUAUAAGGCUGUUUGAAUCAUGUUUUAUUUGUAUAUUUUUUUCAUAUAAGUUUUAUAGCCUUUUAGAUCCCUAUAGUUGAUAUAACAACUUUUCUCAUCCAUUUAUCUUUAUGUCCGGCUGUUAAUCACUCACCAAUUUAAGGUUUAAAUUACUAGAACUCAAGUCCCUUAGCUUAUCACACAAGAUGCAACAAUUCCAGCAACCUUCCUCACAUUUUUCUUCAAGAUUAAUCAAAUUUAUCAACUUAAACAAGGGAAAUAUUCAUGUAUACCAAAUUUAAGGUCUUGUGAGGUGUUUAAGCUAAGAUUAAACCAUUUUCAACCCAAUAUUCAAGAAUUAAGGCUAGUGAGCUUUUCUUUUCUUCCUUUGAGCUGAACCAGAUUCAAGUUCACUUAUGGUUUAAAUUUGCUCAAUUUCAUCAACCCUCCAAGUCUUAGAAUCAAUAAAAUGUACACGAGAGGCAAGGUUAAGAUGUUAUAAGAUGUUUUAUACAAGAUUACAAUCAAUUAUCCUAGAAAUUUCGAAAAAUAACAUGAGAGUUUCAACCCCUCACUCUCUCGGCCAACAAGGCUAAAUUUCCAGCAAUAUUACUUCAGAUUUUCAACAAAACUUCAUUCUUUUACUUGCUUACAUCUUUAAGUACUUUAAUGUGCUUUCGGUCCAACAUAAGCCAAGGCAAGUAAUACUUAAUUCCAGCAAAUGGUUCAGCCAAGAAGCCAUAUAUACUAAUCUGUCAUCAGCUAAAUGCAGCAGUCAUCAAAAUGGUAAUUUAAUAGACAACCACUUCCUUAAUUUCUUCCAUGUUACCUCCAACUUGACAUGCAAAACAUGAUUAUCAAGCUACAGAGUAGCCUUAAACAGAACAUAUAAAAGUUCACAACUAAAAUUCGAAAGAAAGACUGAUCAAAAGUUCAUUUCUCUCUCUCUCACUCGGCCUUCCUAGCGGGUUCCAUCAGCUUUUAAUCAAGAAUUUUCUCCAUUAGUCUCUUCUUUAUGCACUCAAAUCUAACAAGAAUGAUAAGACGGAAAUGUUAUAUAAUGAAUUAAACCUCAAUGUAGAAGGUUAGAACCAGAAUCCAUGAAGAAACCGAGAAUAAUUUUCUUAUUCUUUCUCUCAGCCGAACCUAUCUGCAACUAGAUUGAACUUAUCUUUCCUUCAAUGUUCACUUCAGUUUAUACUCAUUUCUGCUUUGCUUGAUGAAGUUAAGAUGCUUUAUGACACAUUACAGCUUAAUACGAAAGUUUAAGAGCUAAAAUUUGCCAAAGACAGCUAGAGUUUCUUAACUUCCUUGCUCUCAGUUGGGGCUAACAGAUUUCCAGCAGGUUUCUUUCAAUAAUUUCAACUCAUAGUUCCAACUCUUCACAAGUUUCUACAGCUAACCUUCUUUUAAUACUUAAAGUAGACAUAAUACAUGCAUUUCCUAUCAUUAGUUUCCAUCCUUUACUGUUAGCAAGCAGUAAUUCAACAAAUGACCCUCGAUUCCCACAAAAUUUCAGCUCAGCAACUACUCAGUCUCAAACCAGAAUUUUUCCUCGGUCAAAAAUUCAUUUCCAUGCUAAAACUUAACAUGCAGCUCAUAUAUUCACUUAUACUUAAUAAGUAAAGGUUUAUUACAGAAUUUUUUUACCUCCUUUCCUUUAGAAUUCAACAGUUGCAGACUGCUCCAGUUUUUAAGCUUCGGUUCCUCCAAAUUGCACCAGCUCUCACUCUUUUCCUUCCUUGCGUCCUUCUUUUCUCACGGUCGAAGCUGAUAUGUGAUGAAUCUAGCUAAGUUUCUCUUCCUAUUCCUCACCUUAGCUCUCGGUUUUGGUGUUUUGAGAAGAAAGGCUGAUGCCCUGUUUUUUUUCCUUUCUCGGUUGUUGCCGCUUAAGGAGAACUGGUAAAAUCUCUCAUUUUCUCUCUUUCCUCCAGUCGGUCACCACUUGGAUUUGGCUAACCAUUGGCAGCUACAUUCCUCCCCUUACACUCACUUAGCU
rnacentral:lncRNA from 1 species